rnacentral:rRNA from 2 species
GCUCAGGACGAACGCUGGCGGCGUGCUUAACACAUGCAAGUCGAACGAUGAAGCCCUUCGGGGUGGAUUAGUGGCGAACGGGUGAGUAACACGUGGGCAAUCUGCCCUUCACUCUGGGACAAGCCCUGGAAACGGGGUCUAAUACCGGAUAACACUCUGUCCCGCAUGGGACGGGGUUGAAAGCUCCGGCGGUGAAGGAUGAGCCCGCGGCCUAUCAGCUUGUUGGUGGGGUAAUGGCCUACCAAGGCGACGACGGGUAGCCGGCCUGAGAGGGCGACCGGCCACACUGGGACUGAGACACGGCCCAGACUCCUACGGGAGGCAGCAGUGGGGAAUAUUGCACAAUGGGCGAAAGCCUGAUGCAGCGACGCCGCGUGAGGGAUGACGGCCUUCGGGUUGUAAACCUCUUUCAGCAGGGAAGAAGCGAAAGUGACGGUACCUGCAGAAGAAGCGCCGGCUAACUACGUGCCAGCAGCCGCGGUAAUACGUAGGGCGCAAGCGUUGUCCGGAAUUAUUGGGCGUAAAGAGCUCGUAGGCGGCUUGUCACGUCGGAUGUGAAAGCCCGGGGCUUAACCCCGGGUCUGCAUUCGAUACGGGCUAGCUAGAGUGUGGUAGGGGAGAUCGGAAUUCCUGGUGUAGCGGUGAAAUGCGCAGAUAUCAGGAGGAACACCGGUGGCGAAGGCGGAUCUCUGGGCCAUUACUGACGCUGAGGAGCGAAAGCGUGGGGAGCGAACAGGAUUAGAUACCCUGGUAGUCCACGCCGUAAACGUUGGGAACUA